rnacentral:rRNA from 1 species
CCUACGGGAGGCAGCAGUGAGGAAUAUUGGUCAAUGGGCGAGAGCCUGAACCAGCCAAGUCGCGUGAAGGAUGACGGCCCUACGGGUUGUAAACUUCUUUUGUCAGGGAGCAAUUGGGUCCACGCGUGGGCUUAGCGAAAGUACCUAAAAAAAAAGAAUGGGCUAACUCCGUCCCAGCACCCGCGGUAAUCCGGGGGAUGCGAGCGUUAUCCGGUUUUAUGGGGUUUAAAGGGUGCGUGGGCGGAAGAUCAAGUCAGCGGUAAAAAUUCGGGGCUCAACCCCGUCGUGCCGUUGAAACUGAUGUUCUUGAGUGGGCGAGAAGUAUGCGGAAUG